UACGUAGGGUGCAAGCGUUAAUCGGAAUUACUGGGCGUAAAGCGUGCGCAGGCGGUUUUGUAAGUCUGAUGUGAAAUCCCCGGGCUCAACCUGGGAAUUGCAUUGGAGACUGCAAGGCUAGAAUCUGGCAGAGGGGGGUAGAAUUCUACGUGUAGCAGUGAAAUGCGUAGAGAUGUGGAGGAACACCGAUGGCGAAGGCAGCCCCCUGGGUCAAGAUUGACGCUCAUGCACGAAAGCGUGGGGAGCAAACAGG
rnacentral:rRNA from 1 species